UACAGAGGGGGCAAGCGUUGUUCGGAAUUACUGGGCGUAAAGGGCGCGUAGGCGGCCUUCUAAGUCGAACGUGAAAUCCCCGGGCUCAACCCGGGAACUGCGUCCGAUACUGGAAGGCUCGAAUCCGGGAGAGGGAUGCGGAAUUCCAGGUGUAGCGGUGAAAUGCUUAGAUAUCUGGAGGAACACCAGUGGCGAAGGCGGUGUUCUGGGCCUGUACUGACGCUGAUGCGCGAAAGCGUGGGGAGCGAACAGG
rnacentral:rRNA from 1 species